rnacentral:rRNA from 1 species
GAGGGUGACCGGCCACAUUGGGACUGAGACACGGCCCAAACUCCUACGGGAGGCAGCAGCUAAGAAUCUUCCGCAAUGGGCGCAAGCCUGACGGAGCGACGCCGCGUGGACGAAGAAUGCCGAGAGGUUGUAAAGUCCUUUUAUAUGCGAAGAAUAAUAUCUGUAGGUAAUGACAGAUAGAUGACGUUAGCUUAUGAAUAAGCUCCGGCCAAUUACGUGCCAGCAGCCGCGGUAACACGUAAGGAGCGAGCGUUGUUCGGAAUUAUUGGGCGUAAAGGGCAUGUAGGCGGUUAUGUAAGUCCGAUGUGAAAUACCACAGCUUAACUGUGGAAACGCAUUGGAAACUGUGUGACUUGAAUCAGUGAGGGGUAACCGGAAUUUCUAGUGUAGGGGUGAAAUCUGUUGAUAUUAGAAAGAACACCGAUGGCGAAGGCAGGUUACUGGCACAUGAUUGACGCUGAGAUGCGAAAGCGUAGGGAUCGAACAGGAUUAGAUACCCUGGUAGUCUACGCUGUAAACGAUGUACACUUGGUGUCGGGGUUUCUAAGCCUCGGUGCCGCAGCUAACGCGCUAAGUGUACCGCCUGGGGAGUAUGCCGGCAACGGUGAAACUCAAAGGAAUUGACGGGGGCCCGCACAAGCGGUGGAGCAUGUGGUUUAAUUCGACGAUACGCGAGAAACCUUACCAGGGUUUGACAUAUUUACGAUCGUCUUAGAGAUAAGAUUUUCCCUUCGGGGACAUUUAUACAGGUGCUGCAUGGUUGUCGUCAGCUCGUGCCGUGAGGUGUUGGGUUAAGUCCCGCAACGAGCGCAACCCCUAUUGUCUGUUACCAUCAUCUAGUUGGGGACUCAGGCAAGACUGCCGGUGACAAACCGGAGGAAGGUGGGGACGACGUCAAAUCAUCAUGGCCCUUAUAUCCUGGGCUACACACGUGCUACAAUGGCCGGUACAAAGUGAAGCGAAGCCGCGAGGUGAAGCAAAACGCAUAAAGCCGGUCUCAGUUCGGAUUGGAGUCUGAAACUCGACUCCAUGAAGGUGGAAUCGCUAGUAAUCGCGCAUCAGCAUGGCGCGGUGAAUACGUUCCCGGGCCUUGUACACACCGCCCGCCACACCACCCGAGUUGGGGGUACCCGAAGUCGCUAGUCUAACCUGAUUCAGGGGGACGGCGCCGAAGGUAUGCCUGGUAAGGGGGGUGAAGUCGUAACAAGGUA